rnacentral:rRNA from 1 species
AUUGAACGCUAGCGGAAUGCCUUACACAUGCAAGUCGAACGGCAGCGCGGACUUCGGUCUGGCGGCGAGUGGCGAACGGGUGAGUAAUGUAUCGGAACGUGCCCAGUAGCGGGGGACAACCACUCGAAAGAGUGGCUAAUACCGCAUACGCCCUACGGGGAAAGGGGGGGAGUCGCAAGACCUCUCACUAUUGGAGCGGCCGAUAUCGGAUUAGCUAGUUGGUGGGGUAAAGGCCUACCAAGGCGACGAUCCGUAGCUGGUUUGAGAGGACGACCAGCCACACUGGGACUGAGACACGGCCCAGACUCCUACGGGAGGCAGCAGUGGGGAAUUUUGGACAAUGGGGGAAACCCUGAUCCAGCCAUUCCGCGUGUGCGAUGAAGGCCUCGGUUGUAAGCACCUUUGGCAGGAAGGAAAUACGUGUGGGUUAAU